UACGUAGGGGGCAAGCGUUGUCCGGAUUCAUUGGGCGUAAAGAGCGUGUAGGCGGCCAGGUAGGUCGGUUGUGAAAACUGGAGGCUCAACCUUCAGAGGUCGACCGAAACCAUCUGGCUAGAGUCCGGGAGAGGAGAGUGGAAUUCCUGGUGUAGCGGUGAAAUGCGCAGAUAUCAGGAAGAACACCCGUGGCGAAAGCGGCUCUCUGGAACGGUACUGACGCUGAGGAGCGAAAGCAUGGGUAGCGAACAGG
rnacentral:rRNA from 1 species